GCUUAGUAAGUAUGUAUAUACCACAUUUUGUUUAUCCUCUCAUCUCUUGAUGGACAUUUGGGUUGUUUCUACUUUUUCGACUAUUGUGAAUAAUGCUGCUAUGAAUAUUAAUGAGCAACUAUCUGUUUAUGGAUUCUGUUUUUAUUCAUCAGGCCUCUCAGCAGUUACCAAAUAGAUUAAAGUUAGAUUUAAGAAGGACUUUCUGGUUUCCUACUACCAGCGACCUAAGCAGCAGCAUCUACUCCUAUGGAUAGUUCCGAUAACCUGAAUCUCUUCCACCACCUCUAAUCCAUCCCUAGGCUGGGGUAGUGCCCAGAAUGGCUGCACCAGCGCAGGAAAGAGGCUUCACAGAGGUCACUCUGGAGUCGUACCUCUGGAUGACUUAUUUUAGUAGCUGGGUGGGGGUUUCAUUGUCUUCUCUUGGGCUCUGGGUAUGUUUGCCACCACUACCCACCCCAGACCCAAUGUUCUCCUUUCCCUGGCAACAUCCAGACUGUCUCCCUUUUUCUCUCCCAGGCUAAAUUGGGAGUGUGAAGCUGCUCUUCUUCCCAAUUUAGCUUUUGAAUUAAAGUGAGAAGUGAAUGUGGCUGGAAAGCUGGCUCCCAUCUGUGUGUGAGAGAGAGAAAGGCAAAGCAAGCGAGCAUGAGCACAUGCCGGGGGCCAGGGCGAGUGUAGGUGGCCCGGGCAGCUGCUUAGUGCAGACACCCAUCCUCAGGUGCCGGCAAACGGCUCCGCAAAGAGACGCUGAGGGUAGAAGGCUGGUAUUUUCUUGGGAGAGGAAGAAUGCUGCAGAGAUGUCAUUUGUACAUUCCAGAAAAAUGUGAUGAAUUAUUAGAGUGUUCCAGGCCCUGUACUAGAUGCUGGGGAAACAGUGGUGAACCAGGUAGGCCCAUCGCCUAUGCCUGGGCUUUCAGUCUAGUGGGGACACAUGGGCAAUGAUGAAACAGGGUGAUAUAUGCUGUCAGGGAAGAGAACACGAAAGAGAAGGCCACAGGGCCCUGGACCAGGUGCAGUGUCACAUCUAAGCUGAGACUUGAAGAACAGGCAAGACAUUACCAAGUGAAGGAGGAGACAAAGAGCAUGUGAGCAGAGGGCACUGCGUGUUCAACGAUUUGGGGAGAAGAAAGCCAGAAGAGAAUGCCAGGGCCAGAAGUCUGGGAGCACAUAAGUCCCUUCUGCUCAGGCUCUAAAAUAGUUGAAGCAGGGGGAGGAGGGAAGCCCCAGGUCUCCUUCUGAGUUGCCACUUAGAAAGCUGGACCCGGCAGGUCCAAGAUGGACAUGGAACAGAGGAAAUGGGAUCUCACUUGCAUCAGAGGAGACAAAGGAAUCAAGAAGGGUCGCUGCUUGGUUUAGCUUACCCCAUUCUCCCCCUGGAGGCUGCCUGAGUCAUCUCUGGGGGACCUGUCCUCUUCUCACCUAAUGGCAAUGAAUCAUGAUCUGGUGGAGAUGGGGACAGGUCGAAAUCUUGGCAAAGAAAAGAGGAAUAAAGGAGCUCUUUGGAGGCCAUG